GAUUUCAGCCAGGCAGCUAGCAAAGCUCGCGGGUGAACUGCACAGGCCAUGGUGGGUGCAGAGCUCAGAGCCGGAAAGCAAACAGCUGCUGUAGCCUGAUUUGAGUUAAAAUAGUGUGAGUGUUUAGUCUGGCGCACGGCUUCAGGGGAGAUUGGCAGCUGGGUCAAACAAAGUCCUUCCAUUGGCUCCCUUCCCAGGCAGCUUCUGCUAGUGUUUAGGUACUAGUGCAGUGUAGAACCCUUUUCUCAGGCAAAACCUAACAUCUGACCGCACCCUUUUUGCUAUUAAAAAAAAAAAAAAGCUUCUAUUUUUUUCCUCCUGUCGUUAAGAUAAAUUCUCCAGUAGACAACCUCUCCCACUAAUUGUGUAUUAGCAACGUAUUUUAUCUUGAGAGCUUGUACACUGGGCUCUCAACGUGGUGUGGAAGGUAGCCUGUUACAGUGCUGGAUUCAUAAAAGGGCCUUUAUGGUUUGUGAAAGAAUAUCUGUGUGCUUAGGGAGGAAACUUUUUGAUCUGCAGAAAAGCCAGAAGACAUCUAGGACAUCCAUAAAAAUUCAUCAGAGAGCAUUUUACUACUGAGCUGCAAAGGGAAAAACUUAAAAUGGAUAUGAAAAGUGAAGAAAGUGAUCAUAGGAGAAAACCAUUUCAGGUGUCUGAUGAUUUGUGAGCCUCAAGUGACUACUCUGUGGAAUCAUCUGUCCUUGCCUUUGAAUUAGCUUUCCCUAGGCCAUGAGUCAACAUUAGUAGUUUAUACAUCCAAAUUGAUGACAAGAGCACCUCAAAGGCAGCAGCCUCAAGGAGCAGCCAUGGCCCCAGACUUGUCGCACGGAUGCAGAAAACUUAAUGGAGGAGGCUGAGGUCAGAAUGGGAAGAGUUUUUAAAAAAUAAAAAGGGGAGCUAAUAUGUGAGGAACUGAUUGCUGUGCAUUAUUUUCCACUGAACAGACCUUCUUUUAACUUCUAAUCUCAAGCACAUAGCAGCUGUUGUUUUCAUAUUAAAGAUCAGUAAGUGUUUGUUGAAUGAAUGUAUAAAUUCUUCCCCAAUCUCUGUUCCAUGUAAUAAGAACUAAGUUAGCAUUCAAUUAUAAAGAGGACUUAGAAAGUCUGCAGACAUUUUUGAUCAAAAAUCCUUUUAACUGUCUUCUUAUGGUUCCCGGUAACACCUAAGCCCAAAAAACUCAGGUCAUUUCUUGCCUGUACUGUUGCAAUAGCCUCAUAAUAACUAGUCUUCUCCUUUAUCAACCACAGUCGUCUCCGCUACACAAAGAAGAGAGGGUGCUAAUCUAAAGUGUAAAUUAUUUUAAAUCAGCACCCUUCUUGUAAUUUCCCAGUGGUUUUUCCUGUCAUAAGAAUAACAUGCAAAAUUCCUUGCUUGCAAAGCCAGGUAUGACCUUGCCCCGUCUACCUUACUGGCAUCGUCUCUCAUGACUCUUCCCCUUUUUCACUCUCCAUCUUGCCUUUUCCCAACCAUGCCUGCUAGUGAGCCUUAGCCCUUGUGUUUUCUCUGCCAGGGAUGCAUGACUGGCUUCUUUACUUUAUUCUGAUCUCUCUGCUCAAAUGUCAUCUUUUUAGAGAUAGCUUUCCUAAACAUCUUUAAAAGUACCCCAUGAACUGUGAAACACCUUUCCUGCUUUUUCUUCAUAGUACUUAUCACUUCCUGAUAUUAUGUUAGACAACAAGCAAAUAAGUAUAUGCUGUUCCCACUAAAAUAUAAGCUCCAUUUGAACAGGAGCCUUGAUUAUUCCUGAGUAUACCCCUAGUGCCCAGAACCUAGUAGGGCUUUAAUAAAUAUUAGAUUCAUUUGUUGAAUGAAAAAAUGAAUGAAUAAUUGAAUAAAGAUAUCCAGGUAGAGUGUCCGGGCAGCCCAACCUAUGUGAAGCCAGUACAAGAAUGUUUCUGUGACAUAGUGAGCGCAAUUAUUCCUCUAAAUGAUGAACUUGCAUGAGUACACAAGGAUAAAAUUAAGCACGUAGUUUAGAUUUCUGCAAGUCUCUUCCUCAGAUUGAGGAAAAACAAAGAAAUUGAGCUUAUUCUCACCUCAUUCUUACAUGAACUAAAUCCAGAAUAAAGCAUCAUUUAAAUACCAAGCACAUCCCUACCUCAGCCACUCAUGGAAUACUUUAUCUGUAAAGGGACAGAUAGAUAGUAAAUAUUUUUGGCUUUGGGGACCGUACAGUCUGUGUCGCCACUACUCAGCACUUCUGUUGAGGUGUGGAAUCAGCCCUAGACAACACAUAAACAAAUGGGUGUGGCUGUGUUCCAAUAAAAUGUUAUUUAUAAAACUAGGAAAUCAGCAGAUUUAGUCCACAGGCUGUAGUUUGCUGACCCUUGAAUUAGAGAGUCUUCCCCAAAUCCUCUUCCCAAGUUAUUGAAAGAAUGCCCAUAGGACCAUAGCUCCCUCACCUGGUUCUUUCAAGAAAUGAGACAAAUUCAGGGAUGGUUGGAGGGUGGAACGCCUACCUGUGACAUGACUAUUGAGCCUGAUUUCUUUCCUUUUAUCUCUUUAAAGUGAGUCAGGUCUUAACUUUAAACUGUCUCUAAAGUGGCAAUAACUGGGCCAUGUCAAAUACUCCCAAUGACAAAAUUUCUUCUUGGAGAAUGAAUGAGGGUUGCAUACAGUGGUGUGUUGGUAAAUGUUUAGCAACUGGCUCUCUUACUGAUUUCUGUAGUGUAAAUUCUCCCAUCCUGGCCAUCUGAAACUACCAAUAUGAUGUCACUUGAUGUAGAGUUGGGAAAAGACAGUCUCUUGAAUAAGUAUGAGCUGGUUCCAGCCCACUGCUGAACACAUAUUUAAAAGCUACAAUAGCUCUGCUCACUGCCAUUGCAGAGUCUGGAGGAAAGAGUAGCAGGCUUGAUAGGAGCAAUUGGCUGAAUAAUCUUUUGCAAUGCCAAUAAAUAAUGAAAAAGUAUAUAAAUAUAACGCUGUAUAGAAAGCUCUCAAGUUCAGUGUUUGGUUAAAAUACAUACUCAGUAAAUGGUAGCUAUUAUUGUCUUAGUUUAAGUUAUUGCAAGCAUUAAAAUUAAAUGUUUAGCUACAGACUCAAUCCAGUUUUAAUGUCAUUGUGUUAAUAAGGCCUCUUAACAUUGAAGCAACAAAGAUAAAGGAAUUUUUUUGUAGCUAUUCACGAUUCUGCCCAGCUCAAGGUAAAGAUAGCAACAAAAUACUCCAACCAGAAUAAAAGAAGUCUCCACUUGACUGCAGCUCUUCGCAACACUUCACAAGGGUCAAGCUGUGUUAGUUUCCUUCAGUGUUAAACAGAAUGCAUCUUAAGAGAAUAGUUCAAUUAUUGAUUGAAUAGUAGGUUCAAGUUGACUAUAAUCCCAACUAAUACACUCUAAGACCAGGGAUGGGCCGACAGAAGGGUAAAGUUUUCCACUCAAGUCUCGAGGCAAACACUCAGAUAGAAGUAGUAAUAUGGAUGCCUUCUAUUAUUUGGUCACAUACAAUACUGUUCCAGCCCAGUUGUGCAAAACUGGUGAAAUAAAAGGCAAAAAUAUUGACAACAGUUUGGGUAACUGGAUUCCAAAAUGGGCAUCCAUCUAAGAGAAAUUAAUGAAAAAAAAGCAUAUGGACCUUGAAAUACAUUAAUACACAGUUUAGGUUUAAACACUCAGUUUUUAUUAGAAAAGACUAACUUAUCCUGUUUUGAACACUACAAAAGUGCUUUCUGAACCAUUUACUCUCAAACCUCCUCCACCCAUUCCCCUCCAUCUAUAACGCUUUCUGCACAUCUGUAAAAGGUAUGACUUAGUGUUUGGUCUGUGAAAUAAGGUUAAAAAGGAAGCAUUUCUUUUUACAUUCUAGCUAAUGUUGAUAUUUUUCUCAUGCUUCUAUUAGCACAUAAUUCAGAUACAUUAGUUUUGAAGUUUUGAAUCUUCUCUGCUUCUUGAGGGCUCUCUGUUCUAGAUCAACAUGAUCUGUGGAACACCAGCCAAGUCCUGGGCAGAACCCUCCCCGUUGUCCAAAUAUUACUGAAUCAGUUGAGUUUUCUCUGUUGUCAAUGAAUUAUUCCACAUGUUUCUUUGGCUACAUUUUUUUUGGCUUUCUGUUCACAGUAAAUAUAGCCUUUGUUUUUAAAAACUUCUAUUAUGAAAAUUCCAAAUAUAUGCAAAUUAGAGAGAAUAGCAUAAUGAACCUCUAUGUGCUUAUCACACAUAUAGGUUCAACUAAUUAAAUUAUAUCAAUUUAUGGCCAAUCUGGUUUCAUUUAUAACAUCAUUCGCUCAUUCCUAACUCCCUGGAUUAUUUGAUUGACAUGUUUCUAAAGUUCCUUUUAAUCUGUAGGUUCCCCCUCUCAUUUAAUCUUUUGCAACUUAUUCAUUGAUGAAACUGGGUUAUUUGUCCUUUAUUGUUUCUCUCAUUCUGAAAUAUGCUGUAAUGUCAUUAACCAUAUUCUUCUUUCCUGUAUUUUCUGUAAGCUUUGAGCUAGGCAGAAAUAUUUUAAUCAGAUUCCUUUUUUUUUCUUUUAGCAAGAUUUCUUCAUAAAUAAUAUUGUAUGUGUUCAUGAAAAUAGAAAUAAAAAUAGAAAUAAAGAAGAAAUAACAGAAAA
rnacentral:lncRNA from 1 species